AUGACUAUCAUGGCAACUAUGCCACCGCUUCAUAUCCAAACGCAAGAUGAAAUGAAUAAAAGAUGGGAACUACCUGUCAGUAUCUCUCUUACUCCCAAGAUUAUGCUUCUCUCUCUUUCCUUCCCUUCUCCCGAUUCUUUUAAUCAAAUGAACAACAUGAAGGAGAAAAUCAACCAAGCAGAACAGAAAAGAGAUAUAAAAUAUAAGAACAUGAGUAAACCUUAUCUCACUUCAAUACAAAUCAGGGAUGAUUGUGGGCACCCAGCCGGUGAUUAUGUAAAAUUACCUAGAAGAUUCAGCUCUGAUGGUUACACAAGCAAGUAUAUUGUCUGA
rnacentral:rRNA from 1 species